rnacentral:rRNA from 1 species
GAUGAACGCUGGCGGCGUGCCUAAUACAUGCAAGUCGUACGGAAAGGCCCUUCGGGGUACUCGAGUGGCGGACGGCUGAGUAAUGCAUAGGAACAUACCCCAAAGUGAGGAAUAACUGCCCGAAAGGGUGGCUAAUACCGCAUGUGAUCUUCGGAUUAAAGCUUCGGCGCUUUGGGAAUGGCCUAUGUCCGAUUAGCUAGUUGGUGAGGUAAUAGCUCACCAAGGCGACGAUCGGUAGCUGGCCUGAGAGGAUGAUCAGCCAGACUGGGACUGAGACACGGCCCAGACUCCUACGGGAGGCAGCAGUAGGGAAUUUUCCACAAUGGGGGCAACCCUGAUGGAGCAACGCCGCGUGCAGGAUGAAGGCC